UGUGGUACUCGGCGGCCUCGGUCUUGUUCUUCUCCUGCUGCCGCUUCUUCAGGAUCUUGCGAGCGCGCUUGCGCUGCAGGGCAGCGGGGGUCACCAGCCUGCGAGGCCGCGUAGCGAGAUGGGCAAGGAAAGCGGUUACGAAAAGACCGAGGACUACCACAUUGACCUUUGCACGAAGGUGUCAAAAACCAAGGUGCAUCCAGUUAAAGUUGCAGGGUCACGGAUGCAAUGAUGGAGGUGCAGGCAUUGGUUCUGCAUGGCCAAGCAGCAGGGCAGGCACUGUAGCAAUCCUCUAGGCUCGUAAAACGCAUGCUGCCAGCCCAAGCCCUCAUCACUACGCGUAUCCUCGUGGCAUCAUCUCUAGUAGUAUCGGCGGACUGCUUUUCCUCAUACAACCAGGGUUUCCUGCCCUUACCUCUGGAUCUUAGGGCACUUGCGGUGGGUCUUGCCGUUCUUGUCCUUCCGCUCGCGCGAGUAGAUGGUGACGUACCUGGGAAUUGCGAGUGACCCAUUGUUAACAAUUCUCAUCCAUUUCUUGCAAAAAUAUCAAGUUAACGCAUUGGCAACCCAAACCCGACCUUGAGAACUACACAGCGCAUCAUAAUGCCUGGAAGAUCACUCGUCUCGUCCACCGGCACCCUGCCAAGGUCAGUCCUUUCCCUAGACCUUAUUUCCACCCAAGGAUUCUUACUUGCGCACGUCGUCCUCCUUGGACAGGUUGAACAUCUUGCGAAUCUUGCUCGCACGCUUGGGACCGCGCAUGCGGGGCUUCUCCUCAUCCGUCAGGCCGGGCAGCUCCGCCUCACCCUUCUUGACGAUCACCAGGUUCAGCACCGACAGGUCCGGAGAGACGAUGCAGCCGCGAACGGACUUCCGGCGGCGCUCACCUGCCGGCAAAAACGUAAGACACCGUACCGAAUUGCGCAGGGUCGACAUGAGGGAAGAGCGCAGAGCACACACAGGCUGUGGCCAGCCCAUCCAGGCCAUGAUAUCCGAGCUCAAGAACAAUCCCUGCUCCCGAACAUUGCUAACGGGCGUUGGCGACUGAAGCAUGCAAGGACAUGCGUGGGAAUGUCUCGAGUAGCCAGGUUGAAAUGUAACUCCAUAAUAGGUGUAUGAUAACGGGAGUCGUCAAGAAUUCCCACUGGCCAACUGGCUUGCGCUGGUUAAAUCACAUGCGCUCCUUGCGUCGCGGUGUCCAUCCCAUGCAAUUCGAAACAUCACGCCAAAGCUCCCAGGAGUAAAAGGCGGUGCACCGGCAUACGCCCAAUAUACGCCUAUCGCCCCGAUAGCACCGAUGACGACGAAGACGGCACAAGCGAAUCGAUUGGCGAUAGCUGAAGUCGCUAGAUGAGCGUAGCGCUUCCAAGCUUCAUCUAGGCAUCUAGGAUUUUGGGCCCAGCCUCAUGACACAUGAACACCUGUUCCUCGACGUCACACGGCCAGCCAUCCAAUGGCUACAUCUUCAAAGCUGUGAGCUGCGAGUACUGAUGCAGCACCGGGAUAUUGAGCUGAGCAUACUAGGUGCUGGUACGACAUGCUGCAGUACUGGUGUCAGCGACAGCACCCAAACGGAAUAGCUGUUCUUACAGCAGGCACGCACCCAGCAGCUCCGGGACAGGCUGGAAGCCAGAGCUGCUCGCCAAAGAGUGCCCACCGUUAGAAGAUCGGCAGUAUGCUUCCAGGUAAGCUAGCCCUAUUUUCCUGUCGUAUCACCUCUCCUGGAAAGCUUUUCCCGUAAUGCGUAGACCUCGCUAAGCAAGCUAGAGUUUGGCUGGAAUAAACAGUCCAAAGGCCACUUCCGC
rnacentral:lncRNA from 1 species